UACAAAAUUCUAAAUUGCAGCCCAUUUGAUAAAACAUUGAGUAAUUGAGAAAGGGAUCAGCCCUCAAGAUUAUCGCUAAAUUUUGAAAUUCAAAACAAAUCAUCAAAAUACGAAUUGGUCACUGAAGGAAUUCCUGGCAACAUUAUUGCAAGAAAAGAUUCCACAAAUCUGAAUAUUAGAGCUCAUGCUGUUGGAAAUGUAGCAGAGGCUGGCAAAAUGACGAGUUGCAGCGGGACGAGACUAGUGUAUAUGAGAGCAAUACCUAAACUGGGACUGAUAUGCCUCCUUCAAUAUCAAUCUUCGGAGCUGCCGAACACGAAUGAAUUUCAAUCCAUCUGUGAAGGCCUAGACAUCGGCUCCCGGGAUAUCCUCAGUGAGUUGGCGAAUCAGAACGAGUUUCGAUCCAUCGGCAAAGGCCCAGACACCUUCUGCCGAACAUACCUUCAACGAGCUGACGUUUUCGAACACGUUCGGAUCCAUUUGCGAAGAUCUUGACAUCGGCUGCCUAACAUACCUUCAUUGAGCUGCCGAACCCGAACGAGUUUCGAUCCAUUUGCGAAGGCCUAGACAUCGGUUCCCGGGGUUACCCUCAGUGAGAUAUCCGAACGGAAACAUCGGCAAAGGACAAGACAUCGGCUGCCGCACAUACCUUCAACGAGUUGCCGAAUGUGAUCAAAAGAGUCUCAAUCACGGAUACCUAAUAAACUAAUGUUUCAAUUGAUUGCAUGUUCAAUGCGAAUGCACGAUUCUCGAAGAGUUACAGCACACAUGACAGCGAAUGAAAUUGAAAGUUCAUAAUGGUUCAAUGUCGCUCGCUUCGAGCCGACUCGUCGGGGAGAAUACCAUCUCCCACUUACAUAAUGUCGUAAUGAAAGGAACAUAAAUCUUUUUCAAUUGCUUACCAUAUAAGUUAAAGUUUCAUUAAAGUACACAAAGAUGGUAUUAUGCAAUUCGAACAGCACUAUUCUUAAGAACAACAACCAGGAAUUUUUAUGAAGCAAAAAAUUAAGAAAAAUAAAAAAUCUAUAUAUCAACAUGAAUGAAUGAUGAAAGCAAAAUGUCAACAAUUGUUAUUUAACGGAACACAAAGAAUGAUAGUAUGAAGCGAAGUGAGUUGAGAAAACUUAGAGCAUUAUUGCAUAACAGACGAGAAUAAUAGUAGAAUAUCAAUCACAUGUUGUUGAAAUCUAAAAAAUGUAUGUUCAUUGCAAUGAAUAUGUGAAAUGUUAUCUUUCCGAA